UACGUAGGGCGCAAGCGUUAUCCGGAAUUAUUGGGCGUAAAGAGCGUGUAGGCGGCCAGGUAGGUCCGUUGUGAAAACUCGAGGCUCAACCUCGAGACGCCGAUGGAAACCAUCUGGCUAGAGUCCGGAAGAGGAGAGUGGAAUUCCCGGUGUAGCGGUGAAAUGCGCAGAUAUCGGGAAGAACACCCGUGGCUAAGGCGGCUCUCUAGUACGGUACUGACGCUGAGACGCGAAAGCGUGGGGAGCGAACAGG
rnacentral:rRNA from 1 species